AGGGUUUGAUCAUGGCUCAGAUUGAACGCUGGCGGCAUGCCUUACACAUGCAAGUCGAACGGCAGCACGGGAGCAAUCCUGGUGGCGAGUGGCGAACGGGUGAGUAAUAUAUCGGAACGUGCCCAGUCGUGGGGGAUAACGUAGAGAAAUUUACGCUAAUACCGCAUACGAUCUACGGAUGAAAGCGGGGGACUCGCAAGAGCCUCGCGCGACUGGAGCGGCUGAUAUCAGAUUAGGUUGUUGGUGAGGUAAAAGCUCACCAAGCCGACGAUCUGUAGCUGGUUUGAGAGAACGACCAGCCACACUGGGACUGAGACACGGCCCAGACUCCUACGGGAGGCAGCAGUGGGGAAUUUUGGACAAUGGGCGCAAGCCUGAUCCAGCAAUGCCGCGUGCAGGAAGAAGGCCUUCGGGUUGUAAACUGCUUUUGUACGGAACGAAAAGGUCCUUUCUAAUACAAGGGGCUAAUGACGGUACCGUAAGAAUAAGCACCGGCUAACUACGUGCCAGCAGCCGCGGUAAUACGUAGGGUGCGAGCGUUAAUCGGAAUUACUGGGCGUAAAGCGUGCGCAGGCGGUUAUGUAAGACAGUUGUGAAAUCCCCGGGCUCAACCUGGGA
rnacentral:rRNA from 1 species